UACGUAGGGAGCGAGCGUUAUCCGGAUUUAUUGGGUUUAAAGGGUGCGUAGGCGGACUGUCAAGUCAGCGGUAAAAUUGAGAGGCUCAACCUCUUCCCGCCGUUGAAACUGGUGGUCUUGAGUGGAUGAGAAGUACGCGGAAUGCGUGGUGUAGCGGUGAAAUGCAUAGAUAUCACGCAGAACUCCGAUUGCGAAGGCAGCGUACCGGCAUCCAACUGACGCUGAGGCUCGAAAGCGUGGGGAGCAAACAGG
rnacentral:rRNA from 1 species